AUGGAUAUGAGAAUGCGGGUGUCAGUAAUCUCCGCACCUAGACUGGCGACCUUGGGUUACAUUUCUCAGGAUUCACAGGACUCCAAAAUCAUGUUUGGCUCCACUGUUAUUCAGAGAUUGCGCGUUGUUAGCCUGACAACGGUGGUGCCUACUAUCAAGAUCUUAGCUGUGAAUAUGAAUUCUAAUCUGGAUAUGGUUAUUGAGUUGAUGAAAUGCUUUGUAUGCUUGGAGAAAUUGUAUAUGAAGAUUCAGACAGAUUCACCAGCAGGGACAAAUUUCUGGCGUCAUAAACACCGGAAUUUUCUCACAUCUCAGAACAUUCGUUUGAAGACCUUAGUGCUGGGACAUUACCGAGGCAUCCAGGCACAAGUUAACUUUGUCACAUUCUUUAUACUGAAUGCAAAACUGCUAGAGUCCAUCAGGCUUGAGGUUGAUUCCAGGGAUUACAAUGAUGAAUUUUUCGCAGAACAAUGUAGGAUGCUUCAGAUGGAGAAAAGGAUUUCUAGAGGUGCUCAGCUCUGUGUUACAACAGGUUCUCACAAUGAUGUUUCGAGCACCGUUGACCUCAAUGAUUUGGAUUUGGCUGAUCCGUUCACAUGUAGAUGUUGA
rnacentral:rRNA from 1 species